GGGCCCUGGGGCUGUGCAGGUGGGCAGUGGGGUGGGGGUGGCAGGAACUGGCGUGGUGCCCCCACCUCAGUGGUGCCUAGGUCACGUGCCCUGCCUGCCCCCUCCCCCCAGUUCCACCUAUGAUUACCUGCUGUGGCAUGUUUAAAGAGAUUUUUGUGGAUAAAAUUUCUCAUAUUCAGGCCGACUUGGAUUUAGGCCCCACAAUUGCUGCAGUGUAUGAAUCGGAGGUGUCCAGCAACUCUUAUGUGGUCAGGCAGGGUCAGUUCCAGUUUGUGAUUCAUGAGGAUUUGGGCAAGCUUCUUGGAAGAGUGCAGCCUACCACCUGCUCUCUUGACCAUUGCCCAACAUGGCUUAUACUAUCUUCCAGGGGGGCUGUUGUAGAAGGCCUAGUAGAGAUCAUAAAUUUUUCUCUGAGGGAGGGCAGGGUGCCUCCUUGCCUUAAGGAGACAAUUAUUAGACCUCUUUUGAAGAAGCCUACAUUGGAUCCCUCAGAGAUGAUCGGAACAAAGAGGCAAGGAAGAAUUACAUAAUUUAGAAAGUGAACUACAACUACAGAACCUCAGACAGAUGCCCAUGCUCUGGAAGCUGCAGACUAUUUUCAGUUACAGUUUUGUGAUGCAAAUGUUACUGUAUUCAAUUACUUCUGAAAGGCAGCAAGAACAAUGUGGCAGAGGUCCUUGGUCAUGCAAGGUGGCAGCAGGCUGGCAAGGGGAUACUGUAUGUGAGGCAACAACGUGGAGGGAGACCUUGCAAAAGUAUGUCAGGCAGUGGCGAGUUGGCAGGGGACUUGCAAGGGGGAUCCGUCGUCACUAGAGAUGCUCUCACCAGCCGCCACUCCUUGCCUGCUCCAUCGGCCGCCAUAGCAGGUUCCUGCAGGGUCUGCAUGCCGUAGCCUUGGAAUCCAGCAGAGGAAAGCAGUUCGCAUCCCGGCUUGCCUGUGCAAGGCAAAAGGUUACUGGCAGGAGGAGUCCUUUCGUUAGCAUCGCAAUGCAUUCUUGCUUCUCUCUUUCAGGCUUUAAAAAAUGAUGUUUUUAUGAUGCCUUUUAUAAAUAUUUUAUCAAUAUUUGUAGCCUUUUUUAACUGCAAUUUUCAGAUCUUGGCCACUAAAAGUCUGUUAGUCUGUGGCUUUGGUUUGUUUUAGAUAGUCAUAGUUUCAUUUUAAAAUUUUACUCCUUCUUUUGAUUCUUAUAUUUUAUCAUAGUCUUUCAUUAUAUGCUUAUAUUGUGCACCCCUAAGCUUUUAAUAUUUACUUUUACUUUUAAUAUGUAAUAUGUAAUCAUCCCGUAUACUUUAUGCUGGUCUAUGGCCAUAAUAAAGAUUGAUUGAUUGAUUGA